rnacentral:rRNA from 1 species
CCUUAGUUGCCAGCACGUUAUGGUGGGCGACUCUAAGGAGACUGCCGGUGACAAACCGGAGGAAGGUGGGGAUGACGUCAAGUCAUCAUGGCCCUUACGGCCUGGGCUACACACGUGCUACAAUGGUCGGUACAAAGGGUUGCCAAGCCGCGAGGUGGAGCUAAUCCCAUAAAAACCGAUCGUAGUCCGGAUCGCAGUCUGCAACUCGACUGCGUGAAGUCGGAAUCGCUAGUAAUCGUGAAUCAGAAUGUCACGGUGAAUACGUUCCCGGGCCUU